AGGAAAUAUCUGGUCUUGGGGUUGGACUGGAUUUUAAGCACAGAAUUCUGAAGUAAACUCUCAGAUACUUACAAGUCAGCUGUGGUGUUUAUUUGUGCUGCUUUUCUUCUGACCCAAGAAAUCACUUUUGAGUAUGUCAGACACAGAAGACUUUGUGGAGGAAGUUGAGGAACAAGAAGGUAAGAAGUCAGAUAUGAAAAUGCUGCAGUCCCUUUUUGUUUUCAAAAGGAACACUCUAGAGAUCUAUAGUAAAUAUGUUUCCUUAUGUUUCAUUUGCCCAUUACAACAGAAGAAGUGGCUGAAG